GACAGAGGUGCCGAGCGUUAGGCGGAAUCACUGGGCUUAAAGCGUGUGUAGGCGGGCCGUUAAGUGUCUUGUGAAAUCCCCCGGCUCAACCGGGGAAUUGCUGGGCAUACUGGCGGUCUUGAACAAUCUAGGGGCAGAUGGAACAAGUGGUGGAGCGGUGAAAUGCGUAGAUAUCACUUGGAACGCCAAAGGUGAAGACAGUCUGCUGGGGAUUUGCUGACGCUGAGACACGAAAGCCAGGGGAGCGAACGGG
rnacentral:rRNA from 1 species